rnacentral:rRNA from 1 species
UACGAAGGGGGCUAGCGUUAUCCGGAUUUAUUGGGUUUAAAGGGUGCGUAGGCGGAUGUGUAAGUCAGUGGUGAAAUCCUGCAGCUUAACUGCAGAAUUGCCAUUGAUACUGCAUAUCUUGAGUACAGUUGAUGUGGGCGGAAUGUGCGGUGUAGUGGUGAAAUACUUAGAUAUCGCACAGAACACCAAUUGCGAAGGCAGCUCACAAAACUGCAACUGACGCUGAGGCACGAAAGCGCGGGGAGCAAACAGG